CAGUCGAGCGAGCGGAACCACAGAUUUACUUCGGUAAUGACGUUGGGAAAGCGAGCGGCGGAUGGGUGAGUAACACGUGGGGAACCUGCCCCUAAGUCUGGGAUACCAUUUGGAAACAGGUGCUAAUACCGGAUAAUAAAGCAGAUCGCAUGAUCAGCUUUUGAAAGGCGGCGUAAGCUGUCGCUAAGGGAUGGCCCCGCGGUGCAUUAGCUAGUUGGUAAGGUAACGGCUUACCAAGGCGACGAUGCAUAGCCGAGUUGAGAGACUGAUCGGCCACAUUGGGACUGAGACACGGCCCAAACUCCUACGGGAGGCAGCAGUAGGGAAUCUUCCACAAUGGACGCAAGUCUGAUGGAGCAACGCCGCGUGAGUGAAGAAGGUUUUCGGAUCGUAAAGCUCUGUUGUUGGUGAAGAAGGAUAGAGGUAGUAACUGGCCUUUAUUUGACGGUAAUCAACCAGAAAGUCACGGCUAACUACGUGCCAGCAGCCGCGGUAAUACGUAGGUGGCAAGCGUUGUCCGGAUUUAUUGGGCGUAAAGCGAGCGCAGGCGGAAAAAUAAGUCUAAUGUGAAAGCCCUCGGCUUAACCGAGGAACUGCAUCGGAAACUGUUUUUCUUGAGUGCAGAAGAGGAGAGUGGAACUCCAUGUGUAGCGGUGGAAUGCGUAGAUAUAUGGAAGAACACCAGUGGCGAAGGCGGCUCUCUGGUCUGCAACUGACGCUGAGGCUCGAAAGCAUGGGUAGCGAACAGGAUUAGAUACCCUGGUAGUCCAUGCCGUAAACGAUGAGUGCUAAGUGUUGGGAGGUUUCCGCCUCUCAGUGCUGCAGCUAACGCAUUAAGCACUCCGCCUGGGGAGUACGACCGCAAGGUUGAAACUCAAAGGAAUUGACGGGGGC
rnacentral:rRNA from 1 species